rnacentral:rRNA from 1 species
GAUGAACGCUGGCGGCGUGCCUAAUACAUGCAAGUCGAGCGACCGCACGAUAAGCUCGUUCCCCUGCUGUUAGCGACGGACGGGUGAGUAACACGUGGAUCACCUACUUCUUAUUCUGGGAGGACUACGGGGAAACGCAGCCACUAAUGGCUCAUACUUUGAACGGCUUGAAUCAAAAGUGCAUGACGCUUUUGCUGUCUCAUAUAGCUGGUUCCGGGCUGCAUUAGCUAGUUGGUAAGGUAACGGCUUACCAAGGCAACGAUGCAUAGCCGACCUGAGAGGGUGAUCGGCCACACUGGAACUGAGACACGGUCCAGACUCCUACGGGAGGCAGCAGUAGGGAAUCUUCCGCAAUGGGCGAAAGCCUGACGGAGCAAUGCCGCGUGAGUGAUGAAGGUCUUCGGGUCGUAAAACUCUGUUAUUAGGGAAGAACAGAUGUGUAAGAAACUGUGCACGUCUUGACGGUACCUAAAGAGAAAGCAACGGCUAACUACGUG